rnacentral:rRNA from 1 species
UGGGGAAUAUUGGACAAUGGGCGAAAGCCUGAUCCAGCCAUGCCGCGUGUGUGAAGAAGGUCUUCGGAUUGUAAAGCACUUUAAGUUGGGAGGAAGGGCAGUAAGCGAAUACCUUGCUGUUUUGACGUUACCGACAGAAUAAGCACCGGCUAACUCUGUGCCAGCAGCCGCGGUAAUACAGAGGGUGCAAGCGUUAAUCGGAAUUACUGGGCGUAAAGCGCGCGUAGGUGGUUCGUUAAGUUGAAUGUGAAUGCCCCGGGCUCAACCAGGGAACUGCAUCCAAAACUGGCGGGCUAGAGUAGGGCAGAGGGUGGUGGAAUUUCCUGUGUAGCGGUGAAAUGCGUAGAUAUAGGAAGGAACACCAGUGGCGAAGGCGACCACCUGGGCUCAUACUGAAACUGAGGUGCGAAAGAGUGGGGAGCAAACAGG